GCACGGUGGCCAUCAGUAAGCAGAACAAGUUAGAAUGUGGGCAACUCGGCAGUUGUUGCGCAGGCACUUUGGUGACUCUAGAUAAUCUCGGGCCGAUCGCAUGUCCCUGUGACAGUGACGAUGCAUUGGGAUGUCUGCCCUAUCAACUUUCGAUGAUACUUUCUGCGCCUACCAUGGUGACCAUGGGUAACAGGAAUCAGGGUUCGAUUACGGAGAGGGAGCCUGAGAGAUGGCUACCACAUCCAAGGAAGGCAGCAGGCAGGCAAAUUACCCACUCCUGACGCGGGGAGAUAGUGAC